GCCUCGGUGGCCUAGCCCGGUAGGGCAUCACCUUGGUAAGGUGGUGGUCGCGGGUUCAAAUCCCGCCCGAGGCU
rnacentral:tRNA from 1 species